UUUAACCACUAGGGGUGCUUUACCGGCGGAUGACUGUCCGCCAAAAAGCUGAGAUCGAAGUAGGACUUCGAGACCCUUAGAACCUGAUCUGGUUUGUACCAGCGUAGGGAAGUGGCGGCCUCUUUUG
rnacentral:ncRNA from 2 species